rnacentral:hammerhead_ribozyme from 1 species
AUCCAGAUGACGAGUCCCAAAUAGGAUGAAACACGCGUCCUGGAU